CCUUCCAUACAAAAGAACUCUGCUUAAAUUACUCGCUCCAGGUCUCCUGGUGUGUGUAAUCAUGCUAGCAGAGUAAAAACAUGGAAGGAGAGCAACAGGCCCCGAGCCGGAAGUGAAACACGGUCGGACCGCUUUCCUAAUGUCCAGUGGCCUCUGUUUCAAGGCUCAGUGCGACAGCU